CGGGGUGCAGCAGGCGCGAAAACUUUACAAUGCUGGAAACAGCGAUAAGGGGACCUCGAGUGCCAGGUUACAAAUCUGGCUGUCGUGAUGCCUAAAAAGCAUUGCAUAGCAAGGGCCGGGCAAGACCGGUGCCAGCCGCCGCGGUAACACCGGCGGCUCAAGUGGUAACCGUUAUUAUUGGGUCUAAAGGGUCUGUAGCCGGCCGGAUAAGUCUCUUGGGAAAUCCAGCAGCUCAACUGUUGGGCUUUCAGGAGAUACUGUCUGGCUCGAGGCCGGGAGAGGUGAGAGGUACUUCAGGGGUAGGGGUGAAAUCUUGUAAUCCUUGAAGGACCACCAGGGGCGAAGGCGUCUCACCAGAACGGACCUGACGGCAAGGGACGAAAGCUAGGGGCACGAACCGGAUUAGAUACCCGGGUAGUCCUAGCCGUAAACGAUACUCGCUAGGUGUCGGCCACGGUGCGACCGUUGUCGGUGCCGUAGGGAAGCCGUGAAGCGAGCCACCUGGGAAGUACGGCCGCAAGGGUGAAACUUAAAGGGAUUGGCGGGGGAGCAC
rnacentral:rRNA from 1 species